AUUGAACGCUAGCGGGAUGCCUUACACAUGCAAGUCGAACGCGAGCAGCAAUGCUCGAGUGGCGAACGGGUGAGUAAUACAUAAGUAACCUGCCCUAGACAGGGGGAUAACUGCUGGAAACGGCAGCUAAGACCGCAUAGGUAUGGACACUGCAUGGUGACCAUAUUAAAAGUGCCAAGGCACUGGUAGAGGAUGGACUUAUGGCGCAUUAGCUGGUUGGUGAGGUAACGGCUCACCAAGGCGACGAUGCGUAGCCGACCUGAGAGGGUGACCGGCCACACUGGGACUGAGACACGGCCCAG
rnacentral:rRNA from 1 species